AAAACAAAAACCAAACAAGGUUGUUUAUCCUUUUACAAGAUAGCAAGCCCCAAGUUUGCUAGUUUUAGGCUUGGUUAAUUCCGUGAUUCAACAACAGUGUGAAGGACCCAGAUUCCCUUUACCUGCUUUUCUUAGCCUGUCCCUUUUCACCCUGGAUGAGCCUCGCAUGGGCACAAACUAGCUGCCACAGCUCCAAACAUGGCAUCCUCCUCACAGAGUCAUAACCACAUGCUAGACGAUGAUAAAGCAGACUCUUGUAGUACUUGCCUUUAUUCACGAGGAAAACAUUUUCCACGAGGUCUCCCCGCAGACUUUGAAGUCCUUUUAAUCCGAAGAUCCCAGGCCAAGCCGUUAGCAGUCACGCAUCUGGUGGCUCUGCCUGUCCCAGGAGACAGGCUUCCUUAGACAGAAAGAAGAGUGUGCAGGCACAUGCUUUCAAUCAGUCACUCACAGUGUCCCGCCAGGCUGGGAGUCCAUUCAUGCUUCCUAAAGAAACCCAAGGGAGAUUUAUUGGAAAGCUGCAGAGGUAUCUCAGGGGCCCCCCGAAGAGGCAGUGCACUGGCCUUCACCGUGGACGUAAGGGACGAGCAUGCUCUCAGGAGCCAGCAUCCCCCUUCCGUCUCUCAGAGACCGUGAUCUCUGGUCUGUGUCACCACAUGUCACCGCCUUCUUUUCUCCCCGGACGCCACCUUUCUCUACGUCUCUGAGCCCAUGCUCAGGGGACUCUGAAGAUGCGAUUAAGCUGCACGUAUUGAGAUGGGGAGGUUAUCCUAGAUUGUCCAGGUGGGCCCCUGGAAUCGCCAGCAUCCUUAUAAUAAAGAAGCAGGAGGGUCGGAGUCGGAGAAGGAGCCGUGAUGGUAGAAGCAGAGGUCAGAGCCAUGAGGCCACGAGCCAAGCAAGGCAGGUGGGCAGCCUCCAGAAUCUGGAAAAGGCAAGGAAGGGCCUUUGGCCCUUUUGCUGACAUCUCCCUCCUCUUUACCCGUUUACCCCCCACCUGUCUUCGAGUUCUCACCUCCCUCACGGAAUUAGCAUGGUCACGCUCUCCUGUCACACUAACCUGGGCCACAUCCCCUAUGGCGUGUUCUCACAGCACCGCCAGCUGUCUCUCGUCCCUAACGCUGCUCAUGGCUGUGACCCUGCAUCCGGCCCUGGGUCUCCCACACUAUCCUGCGAGCGCCACGAGCACACAGACUGUGGAUUUUCCUCCCCGCCCUGCUGCCUCCAGGACAGGAAAAAAAUUUUUUUUUGUCUUUUGUCAUUUUUUAGGGUCGCACCUGCGGCAUAUGGAGGUUCCCAGGCUAGGGGUCAAAUCGGAGCUGUAGCUGCUGGCCUACACCACAGCCACAGCCACGCCAGAUCUGAGCCACAUCUGCGACCCACACCACAGCUCACGGCAGCACUGGAUGCUUAACCCACCGAGCGAGGCCAGGGAUCGAACCUGCAACCUCAUGGUUCCUUUCCUAUGCGCCACGACAGGAACUCCAAAAAGUAAAGUGAUUAAGUUCUAACUGGCAGCCUGCCCUCUGCUUCCGUGUCUGAAAGGGAUACAUUGUCAGAGCCGUCGGGGCGCCUACCGCACGCGGCGGGCUCGUUGGGCUGGGGAGGCCUGAAGGAGAGCUGACCACAGGCGAGCUUGCCGCCCUGAGCUCACGUGGUUUCAUGACACGCUUCCUUCCCCGUAUUCGGGCUGCGGGGAGAGAGGGAGUGCAACUGGGUGUGUUCUAAUUACUGUUGUGUUCAGCUUGGGUUCCCCUUUCCCUUUGCUUCUUUGUUCAGCUCACUCCAGAGCGUGUCUUAGACAAUAACAAACCAGCAAACUAAUGACGUAGCAGUGAGAAGAAAGUAACACUUAAUGAGCUCCUUUCUGCCGGGCACUGUGGUCGGCGGUUUACGUGGAUGAGCUCACUUGAUCCUCAUCCCAUCCUAGCGCGAUGCGAAGCAGAAUGUGCCCUGUUUUCCAGACGGGCACACCUUCACCGGGAGACCUGGCGAUGAGCCUGAGUGGCAGCCCUGGUUCGUGUGGUUUGGAGCGGGAGCACCAGCAGCCUGACUCCCAAGCCCGCAGCCCGAGAUGCGGCCACCUCGGCCCUUGUGGGGACAAAGUUAUUCCACGUCCGCCUGUGGGACCCUGUGCUGGGAGAGAGCAGUGAACGAGCCACGCUCGGGCUCUUGCCUCAUCUGCGGAAGAGACCCUCCCUUCCAAGUCGGCAGGACCCGGAGAGGGACUUGGGACGUGCCCCUCCCGGGGACGGCGCUGCCACACACCUGCUGUAUCGUCUGUCGCUCCCGUGACCUCUCAGCCUCCAUUUCCAGCUUUAAAUGUUGCCAGAUUCAGGCGGAUGCUCGGUCCGGAGGAGAGGCCCUUCCGCACACAGCCGUCCUCCCAGGGUUCAGCAGCCUGGAGUCACUGCAUAACCAGCCAAGGACCCCGAGCAUCAGGUAUGUAUGAGCCUAGGGUUAGCCUUGUAUGUUUCCGACCACCCCCGGGGCCAUCCACGCUGCCGGUGGUCCCAGCGAAGGCAGCUCGGCGCCCCGUGUUCCGGCAGGAGCUCAGGGCGCUCUGCGGCCCAUCAGCUCAGCGCCGCAGGCACGGUCGUUGCGCUGCACCUUCACAGCUCCGUCUCUGAGCCUCUCGGGGCAGCUCGAGCGGAGGGAUUACCGACUUCAUUUUGCAGAAAAGGAAAGGUGAGCCAUGGGGAAAGCCGUCUGCUCAGGACACAGCCCUUCUCUGGGCCGGAAGCCAGGGCUGAAAACGCUCCCUUCACUCCAUCCCAGAGGGCUUUCUCCCCUCUUAACACCGGCUUCGAAACGUGCAGACGGUGUUUGCAGACGAGCUGGGGGAUGGCUUGUACACAGAACGUGUUUACGCGCUGCGGCCUCGUUGUAAAAGCGCUGGUGCUGGAGAUACUGCACCACACCAACACCCACCUCAGCCCCGCUCCCCUCCCGAGUAGUUGCUCUUGUCACCUGGCUCGUGUCAUGCAGGACAUGUUCUGUGUAAUUACAUAUGUCAAAUGUACAUGCAAACGUGCAUGGUUUUGGUUUUAUAUAUAAAUCAGAUGAUGCAGCAUGUAAUAACUGCAACUUGCCUUCUCUUUUCUUUUUCUUUUUAAGCCCGCACCCCGGCAUAUGGACGUUCCUGGUCCAGGGGUUGAAUGGGUGCUGCAGCUGCUGGUCUACACCACGGCCACAGCAAUGCCGGAUUUGAACGGGGUUUGUGAUCUAUACUGCAGCUCACAGCAGCGCUGGAUCCUUAACCCACCAGUGGUGCCAGGGAUUGAACCUGCGUCCUCAAGGAUGCUCGUUAGGUUCAUUACUGCUGAGCCGCCCCGGGGACUCCCUCACCUUGCCUUGUCAACGGCACUCCUUCGCAUCUUCCUUGUCAGCAGGUGGCCCUUCAUUCUUUUCUGGGACUGAACUGCCCACAUGAAGGUCAGCUGGAGCUGUUUCAAGUUGGAGUGGCAGCAGCCACGCUGACUGGGCAGCUCCCCGGGGUCGGGUCGGGUCGGGGGAAGGCCCGGCCUCCUCCCUCCCUUUGCGGGACUGAGCCGCUUUGCUCCGUGGCACAGGCUUUGGAGUCAGCCUGCUCCCACCACGUCCUAGAAGCAAGGUGUUUAAGCUCACACAGCCCAGCUUCCCCAGAGUCGAGGGGCAGUGUCAGUGUUGGUGGGAGGAGGUGGGUGCAGAGCACUUGGCACACGACCUUAAAGACACUUUCAUUUCAUAAUGUGUUGUUGGCUUCUCUUAAUGGCCUCACCAGUUCUGCCUCUGCUUCCUACUAUCCUAAGGAAUGGAAGGUUCCAGAAAGGUAAGUUACAAAAAAGAGAGAGCCUUUUCCUAAUAAAGGGAAUUAGGGUGGAAGCAUCCUCCUUCCACUUGCAUCACGUUGUCCAUUCGGCGGACGGUCCGUGGGCCUUCACGCCUGCCGUGUGGGCUGUGCUGCCGUCUUACACGUGAGGAAACCGAGGCUCCAGGGACGGGGCAGAGCCGUCGCCUCGUCCCCCAGCAGUCCAGUCGCCUGAGGGAGUCAGAACGUGAGUCCAGGGAGUUCCCCUGUGCUGCAGCAGGUAGGGAUCCACUCUUGGCGGUGCAGUGGCUCCGUUGCUGCCGUGGUGCAGGGUCCAUCCCUUUCGACACCUGGCCUGAAGAGUUCCAGGUGCCACAGGUGUGG
rnacentral:lncRNA from 1 species